rnacentral:rRNA from 1 species
CCGGCGAGGGGAGUGAAAAAGAACCUGAAACCGUGUACGUACAAGCAGUGGGAGCCCCACCACUAAGCCAGUGGUGAACUCCACAUCCGCAUCCUUUGCUGAGGAUACGGUUAACGGAGCGAAAGCGACGUUCAACCGCAAAACAAGCAGAGGGGGCUUAGUGGUGGGGUGACUGCGUACCUUUUGUAUAAUGGGUCAGCGACUUAUAUUCUGUAGCAAGGUUAACCGAAUAGGGGAGCCGGAGGGAAACCGAGUCUUAAUUGGGCGUUAAGUUGCAGGGUAUAGACCCGAAACCCGGUGAUCUAGCCAUGGGCAGGUUGAAGGUUGGGUAACACUAACUGGAGGACCGAACCGACUAAUGUUGAAAAAUUAGCGGAUGACCUGUGGCUGGGGGUGAAAGGCCAAUCAAACCGGGAGAUAGCUGGUUCUCCCCGAAAGCUAUUUAGGUAGCGCCUCGUGAAUUCAUCUCCGGGGGUAGAGCACUGUUUCGGCUAGGGGGCCAUCCCGGCUUACCAACCCGAUGCAAACUGCGAAUACCGGAGAAUGUUAUCACGGGAGACACACGGCGGGUGCUAACGUCCGUCGUGAAGAGGGAAACAACCCAGACCGCCAGCUAAGGUCCCAAAGUCAUGGUUAAGUGGGAAACGAUGUGGGAAGGCCCAGACAGCCAGGAUGUUGGCUUAGAAGCAGCCAUCAUUUAAAGAAAGCGUAAUAGCUCACUGGUCGAGUCGGCCUGCGCGGAAGAUGUAACGGGGCUAAACCAUGCACCGAAGCUGCGGCAGCGAACGUAUCACCCAAGACAACUUUACGGAGUUGACGAUUGACGGAGCGAAGCGACGUCAAAGCGUUCAUUAAAGUCGAGUUGGCUUAGGGAUACGUUCGUUGGGUAGGGGAGCGUUCUGUAAGCCUGUGAAGGUGUGUCGUGAGGCAUGCUGGAGGUAUCAGAAGUGCGAAUGCUGACAUAAGUAACGAUAAAGCGGGUGAAAAGCCCGCUCGCCGGAAGACCAAGGGUUCCUGUCCAACGUUAAUCGGGGCAGGGUGAGUCGACCCCUAAGGCGAGGCCGAAAGGCGUAGUCGAUGGGAAACGGGUUAAUAUUCCCGUACUUGGUGUUACUGCGAAGGGGGGACGGAGAAGGCUAUGUUGGCCGGGCGACGGUUGUCCCGGUUUAAGCGUGUAGGUGUGUGUUCCAGGUAAAUCCGGUUCACUUUAACACUGAGGCGUGACGACGAGGCACUACGGUGCUGAAGCAACAAAUGCCC